rnacentral:misc_RNA from 1 species
UCCGGUUUGUCACCGGCAGUCUGGCGUGAGUCCCCAACUUAAUGCUGGCAACACGCCACGGGGGUUGCGCUCGUUGCGGGACUUAACCCAACACCUCACGGCACGAGCUGACGACAGCCAUGCAGCACCUUACGAUCUGUGUCUUGCGACAAAGCUAGCUUUCACUAGCGGUCAGACCGCAUUCUAGCCCAGGUAAGGUUCCUCGCGUAUCAUCGAAUUAAACCACAUGCUCCACCACUUGUGCGGGCCCCCGUCAAUUCUUUUGAGUUUCACCCUUGCGGGCGUACUCCCCAGGUGGGAUACUUAACGCUUUCGCUAAGCCACCGACAUUGUAUCGCCGGCAGCGAGUAUCCAACGUUUACGGCGUGGACUAC